rnacentral:rRNA from 1 species
AUGCCACACUCCGAGAAAAAUAUCCGGCUCUAUACAACUGUGCACCACAAAGGUGAUACUAUCGCCACAGUAAUGGAAUCAUUUUCGCCAAAUGUGACGUUCAGAAGAGACUUAAUUGGACCCAGACUCCAAUCGUGGAAUAUCCUGCUCCAACGGUUGUCCAUGGUGCAAUUAUCACAUGGGUCUGAUGUAUUCCGAUGGAACCUCCAUGGGAAUGGACAGUUCUUAGUG